rnacentral:rRNA from 1 species
GUGUCAGCCGCCGCGGUAAUACGAAGGGGGCUAGCGUUGCUCGGAAUUACUGGGCGUAAAGGGAGCGUAGGCGGACAUUUAAGUCAGGGGUGAAAUCCCGGGGCUCAACCUCGGAAUUGCCUUUGAUACUGGGUGUCUUGAGUAUGAGAGAGGUGUGUGGAACUCCGAGUGUAGAGGUGAAAUUCGUAGAUAUUCGGAAGAACACCAGUGGCGAAGGCGACACACUGGCUCAUUACUGACGCUGAGGCUCGAAAGCGUGGGGAGCAAACAGGAUUAGAAACCCGCGUAGUCC